GCAACCACACGACGAUCGAUGUAACACUUAUCCAUCGAUCGAUAUUUAAUCCGGUCAGAUGUAUCUUACCUACUUGUUACAUUUCGUACAUCAUACACUUUUCAUCAUAACUCCGGCUGAGUUACACUGGGACAAUGUAAUUUAAGUCUGGGGGGAGAUUUACUGAUAUAAUUUAUUUUAUUCUUAUGUAAAAAGGAAUUUUAAAUAAGUUAUGCUUAGCUAUCGAAAAUAGGGACUAUAAUCUUAUAUUGGUUUAAACAUGAAUAUCUAACCAAUAUUUAGCACCAUUUUAGAUUUACUGAUUGCAGAAAGCACUAAAGAUGCUAAAGCAGAUCAACCUAUCAACUACACACUUGCCUUGAACCGUAUGAAGUAACCAAAGCUGAUUUCCAACACUAAACCUGACAUAACCGCUUGUCUUGGGGCUUGGUAUACAUGGGAUCGGAUUCUUCAGAUAGGCCUGGAAGGUAACGCCUGGUUUAGAUUAUUUAUCACAUUUUAUCUCUCUAGAUUUCGACCCUAGAUUAGUUCUAAAAAAAAAUAACAAUAAUAAUAAUAAUAAUAAUAAUAAAAAUAAUAAUAAAAAAAUAAGUAAGAUCUAUUGUUUAAUUAGGAUGAGUCUGAACAGGACUUGGUGGCUAAAACCAUUAAGGCUUGAUUCAUAAAGACUCAAAUAAAAGAGUUCGAAACGGGACUUGGAGGCGGCAAUUUUUAAGGCUCGCUUUCGCAAAGAACUCUUGGAUAUAGGUCAAAAAGAAGUGAACAGAACUUGGUGGCAACCACCAUUAAGUUUUGAUUCAUGGAAGCCUGUCCAAUCUUGGUCACUGAUCCUGCAAUGGAAGCAGACUUUGACUCAAGAGAGAAAUUUAGAGAGAGAGAAACUAGGAACUAACUUUUACCUGCAGCUCCAGAUACCUGUCUGAAAUCCUUGCAUCGUGUGAUCGAUAC
rnacentral:lncRNA from 1 species